UACAAUGUAAGGUUUCCCCCAAACAAAAGA
rnacentral:piRNA from 1 species